GCCAUUCGGGGUACACGAGCGGCGAACGGGUGAGUAACACGUGGGUGACCUGCCCUCAGCUUCGGGAUAAGCCUGGGAAACUGGGUCUAAUACCGGAUAGGACCUUCCACUGCAUGGUGGUUGGUGGAAAGUUUUUUCGGCUGGGGAUGGGCCCGCGGCCUAUCAGCUUGUUGGUGGGGUGAUGGCCUACCAAGGCGGUGACGGGUAGCCGGCCUGAGAGGGCGACCGGCCACACUGGGACUGAGACACGGCCCAGACUCCUACGGGAGGCAGCAGUGGGGAAUAUUGCGCAAUGGGCGGAAGCCUGACGCANCGACGCCGCGUGGGGGAUGACGGCCUUCGGGUUGUAAACCUCUUUCGCCAGGGACGAAGCUUUUGUGACGGUACCUGGAGA
rnacentral:rRNA from 1 species